rnacentral:rRNA from 1 species
UGGAGCUUUAAACCCGACNGCACCCACUUAUUUAACACCUUCUUAUCCGCCNGGCCCCUGUCUGCUCGGUUUUGGGUUGGGGUGACCGCGGAGCAUAAAAUAGCCUCCACGAAAGAAGGGAUGAUUCCCUCAUUUUAGAACUACACUUCCAAAGACUAACAAAUUAAUUUUAAGUGAUCCGAUACCC